CAAAUCAAUGCUUCCCUCUGCGAAGGGCAUGUCUAUUUAUUUUCCUGUUGAGUCAUCCUCUUCUUAUAUAAGCACCAAUUAGAGAGCACCUCUGUCAUUUUUAUGCUUUGCUUUUGAUUGAUAUUGAGUAUGACUAUGACUGGAUCUUCGUUGCUAUGAAUUACAAUGUUUAGUCAGCCCUUGAUCUUUGAAAGUGCUCUGCAUUUAUGUUUUGCGGUCUCAGAAAGAGCUAGCGAGAUACCACCU
rnacentral:lncRNA from 1 species